rnacentral:antisense_RNA from 1 species
CUCUAUGGGCGGCCCUGGCGGGGAGCCGAAAGGCUCGCCGGUGCUCUUCCCGGUAGUCCAACCCGUCUUGUGCCGCCCACCACG